CCAAGUAUUGUCCAAAGUCCACUCCUGGGCCAGGAGUGGGACAUGUUAACGUGCGGACAAGCGCUUUGCAUUGUUUUUUUCAGAAAAUGGCCAAUAGUUUUAAGCAUUGUCUUAAUUGAUAUUGAAUUAAUUAACUGAUUAAUAGGGCUCAACAGAAGAUGGAAGUUAUUCAAAUAGAGGCAUAGAAGCCGAUUUACAAAAAUUAAACUAGAUUAUUGGUGGAUUAUUGGUGGGUUGAGCCAGCCCGUGCAAUAGUGCAACACAUGGGCGACUCGCAAAGACCCAGAUAGCAAGCUAUCUUCAUGGGUCUCAUCCCUUAAAAAAUAGAGUUAAUAUCGUGUGACACGAUGGGCCACAUAUCAGAUAUUAAACUGAUAAGAACAGAUACUACACUUGAUCUUAGCCAAAAGGCCGAGAAAGGUAUGAUUUGUUAUGAGGUAUUGCAUCUUUAUUUAUACUACUCCUCUCUUCUCCAAACCAGCUCAACUUACCGAUGUGGGACAAUAAAAAGCAAACACAACUGAGAUAAAAGGUUUCGAUUUUGUCACAAAGCCGACAUAUAGAAGAGCUUCCUAAACUUACCAAGGUGAGUGUCUUCUCUAAACACAUGAACACAAGAAAGCUUCCUUCUUUAAACACACAAACACAACUGAGUCCAAAAGUUUGGGAUUGUCACAACGCAGAUACAUUGAGAAACUCAAAGAAGAGCUUCUGAAACUUACCAAGCUGAGUCUUCUUUAAGCACAUGAACACAAUAAAGCUUCCUUCUUCGUCUAAGCUCAUACCCACAAAACCUUUCCCUUCGUUCAUAUGUGAAGUUCUCUUGAAGAAAGGCCUUCCCCAUCCAAAGUCCAAUUCGUAAA